rnacentral:rRNA from 1 species
CGGACGGGUGAGUAACACGUGGAUAACCUACCUAUAAGACUGGGAUAACUUCGGGAAACCGGAGCUAAAACCGGAUAAUAUUUUGAACCGCAUGGUUCAAAAGUGAAAGACGGUCUUGCUGUCACUUAUAGAUGGAUCCGCGCUGCAUUAGCUAGUUGGUAAGGUAACGGCUUACCAAGGCAACGAUGCAUAGCCGACCUGAGAGGGUGAUCGGCCACACUGGAACUGAGACACGGUCCAG